rnacentral:lncRNA from 1 species
CACUUUCUGUUUGUCUUAGGUUUUUAUUGCUGUGAGGAGACACCAUGACUACGGCAUCUCUUAUAAAGGAAAACAUUUGAUUAGGGCUGGCUUACAGGUUCAGAGGUCAUUUCUUAAUCAUCAAGGCAGGAACAUGGCAGUACCCAGACAGGCAUGGCACAGGAGGAGCUGAGGGUUCAACAUAUUGUUCCAAAGGCAAACAGGAGGAGACUGGCUUUCACAUGGUUAGAAAUAGGGUCUCAUUUCCCACCCCAACAGUGACACACUUCCUCCAACAGGACCACAACUACUCCAACAAGGCAAUACCUCCUAAUAGUGCCA